rnacentral:rRNA from 1 species
GGGUUGUGAGGUUAAGCGACUAAGCGUACACGGUGGAUGCCCUGGCAGUCAGAGGCGAUGAAGGACGUGCUAAUCUGCGAUAAGCGCCGGUAAGGUGAUAUGAACCGUUAUAACCGGCGAUUUCCGAAUGGGGAAACCCAGUGUGAUUCGUCACACUAUCAUUAACUGAAUCCAUAGGUUAAUGAGGCGAACCGGGGGAACUGAAACAUCUAAGUACCCCGAGGAAAAGAAAUCAACCGAGAUUCCCCCAGUAGCGGCGAGCGAACGGGGAGGAGCCCAGAGCCUGAAUCAGCAUGUGUGUUAGUGGAAGCGUCUGGAAAGGCGCGCGAUACAGGGUGACAGCCCCGUACACAAAAGCGCAUGUGCUGUGAGCUCGAUGAGUAGGGCGGGACACGUGGUAUCCUGUCUGAAUAUGGGGGGACCAUCCUCCAAGGCUAAAUACUCCUGACUGACCGAUAGUGAACCAGUACCGUGAGGGAAAGGCGAAAAGAACCCCGGCGAGGGGAGUGAAAAAGAACCUGAAACCGUGUACGUACAAGCAGUGGGAGCACCCUUUUGGGUGUGACUGCGUACCUUUUGUAUAAUGGGUCAGCGACUUAUAUUCUGUAGCAAGGUUAACCGAAUAGGGGAGCCGGAGGGAAACCGAGUCUUAAUUGGGCGUUAAGUUGCAGGGUAUAGACCCGAAACCCGGUGAUCUAGCCAUGGGCAGGUUGAAGGUUGGGUAACACUAACUGGAGGACCGAACCGACUAAUGUUGAAAAAUUAGCGGAUGACCUGUGGCUGGGGGUGAAAGGCCAAUCAAACCGGGAGAUAGCUGGUUCUCCCCGAAAGCUAUUUAGGUAGCGCCUCGUGAAUUCAUCUCCGGGGGUAGAGCACUGUUUCGGCUAGGGGGCCAUCCCGGCUUACCAACCCGAUGCAAACUGCGAAUACCGGAGAAUGUUAUCACGGGAGACACACGGCGGGUGCUAACGUCCGUCGUGAAGAGGGAAACAACCCAGACCGCCAGCUAAGGUCCCAAAGUCAUGGUUAAGUGGGAAACGAUGUGGGAAGGCCCAGACAGCCAGGAUGUUGGCUUAGAAGCAGCCAUCAUUUAAAGAAAGCGUAAUAGCUCACUGGUCGAGUCGGCCUGCGCGGAAGAUGUAACGGGGCUAAACCAUGCACCGAAGCUGCGGCAGCGA